ensembl:lncRNA
CUUUGGAGUCGGCUCAGACUGGCCAGACCUCAACAACCUGCACAACUGGACCGGAGUGGCGCUCAGAUGGAUACGGACUGAUAUGCAAACUGAGUCAGUCCCCGGCUCUGAUGCAGUUGUGGCAGAUCCCUGUGUUGUUGUGGAGGCUUCUGUCACCCAUGAUGGAACAUCUCAUCCAGGACAACACUCCUUGGUAUCAGACGGAUGCAGCAACUGCCACACUGGACUGUCCUGAGGCUACAGGGGAAACUGCUGCUCAAGACUGUGCUGACCACUCCCAUUCCAUGUACCAGAAUACAGAGGACAUUCUCACCUUUACUGUUAAGGCUGCAAGUUCUACAAACAAAAUCUAAUCUAGCACUCUGGUACCCUGCCAACCAUGCUCCAUUUUGUGAUCUUCAUGAGUAAAAUGUAAUGGAUUGGAUUUGUACAUUGCUAGACAUAACUGGGUUGUCGACCUCAUAGCCAGCGAGGUGAGACAGAGAGUCUCACCAACAGCACACAUCCAUAAACAUUGUUGUGUAAGAGGAAGAUGGUUUUGAUGUGUUUCCCUGUGGCCCACAUAUGCCAGAUGUUGUUGUUGUGGGAGGAGGGGCUCAUUUUGGAAGUGGGCUGCUACAUGGAGCAGGCCUUAGCCGACAAGCUUCUUAAAUACCAGCCCCUCGCGGCAUGCUUGGACAGCCUCGGGUCUAGGUGCAAGCUGGUGGCUCUGAUAUUUGGCAGUCUCGGGCUAUGUACACAGAAACUAGGGCAAAGCGGCCGGCUAGGUACUGCUCUGUUUCAGCUGUCGUGGGCAGCCUAGUUGUUUAGAGAAGGAGUGUUCUGUACACUUGAGUGUCAUGCAUACAAGGACCUUUGAAAUGUUUGAAUCCUUUUUAAUGUAAAUUUGAUUGGUGGAUUCAAAUAAAUAUUUCAAAUGUGUGUGGGACAGCUUCCUCCCUGGCAUGCUGUGACUCAUCACCCAGAGGGGUUCCUUACACUAUGGACACAGCGUACUGUGAAACAGACAGACACACAGACACACACCUGCUGCGUCUGUCAACGCUAGAGCCGGGUCCCUGCAUUUUGUCUGACAUGCAAAGGGCAGACGAGGCGCUAAGUAACCCCACCGCCACCCCUGCACUAACCUCGCAACGUCGUCGUGGCACAGGGCCAGCGAAAAGCAGUCUAAACCGGAGUGAGCCAGUGCAGUGUGACACCGCACACUCCACCGCCACCACCAAUGCCCUCCCCUUCUCUCAACAACCCGAUGCACACACACGCUUCCCUUUCCUUCUCUCUCCUCCCUCAGCGCCAUGUGCUCUGUUUGUGCUUUUGGCUCUCUUACCACACCGAUGGGCAUUGCCUCACUCUGUUUUCCGCUCCAGCAGGUCUCAGUGGUAUUGGGGCUCAGACCAGCACCUGCUUUCAAUCAGUUCCACAGUUGGAGUGAUUGGAAAUUGACCUUCGCAAUCGUUUCCCAGAACACUAAGGAGUGUACACAGAACACAUCAAAACACACACCCAAGCUUAUACACAUAUAGUGUUGAUCGCACGCACGCACGCACACACACAUCUGGGCGUAUGCGCAUGCACUUGGAAAAACACACAACUUCAAACCAAAAAGCGAUGUUAGUUAAAGUUCCCCUAGUUUAGCAUAAUUUAAAUUCCAUGCCAAAAUCAUCACUGUAAAUCCAACAAUCAUGUUGGAUUUACGACUUCCCACUUCCAAGUUUUCCACUUCUCAUGAGCACAUGAAUGCCCCAAGGAUAUAAUUAAUCGGUCGAGGUUGCGCAUUCAAUACUUUGUAAUUGUAGUAGCCCGUACAGGAGUGUAGGACUGAUGCGGGUAGAGAUGUGGACUGGGUGCUUGCAGGUAGGGUGGGGCCUCCAAGUACUCCUUGAAAGUCAACUGAUGUGCAGCAUGUUUUUUCGUGUCACUACUAGGGGGCUGAGAGGCAGAUUCUCCCUAGAUCGUUGCCACAAAAUACCCAGCAUACCACAUAGUAUUUCUAACCACCCACUUGAAGGUCUGCUUCCUGUAAAGGCUGAACUAUAUCUCAUGUUCAAUGAGCAAGUGUGCCUCGUUGCUGGAUUGCCACGUCUGUCGUACACGUCGACCCAGAGCAUCUCAAACGUGCUCAAUAGGUGACAUGUCUCGGGAGUAUGCCAGGCAUGGAAGAACUGGGACAUUUUCAGCUUCCAGGAAUCGUGUACAGAUCCUUGCGACAUGGGACCAUGCAUUAUCAUGCUGAAACAUGAGUUGAUGGCAGAUGAAUGGCACGACAAUGGGCCUCAGGGAUCUCGUCACGAUAUCUCUGUGCAUUCAAAUGGCCAUUGAUAAAAUGCAAUUGUGUUCGUUGUCCAUAGCUUAUGCCUGCACAUACCAUAACCCCACGCCACCAUGGGGCACUCUGUUCACAACGUUGACAUCAACAAACCGCUCACCCACACAACGCCAUACACGCUGUCUGCCAUCUGUCCGGUACAGUUGAAACUGGGAUUCAUCCUUGAAGAGCACACUUUUCCAGCGUGUCAGUGGCCAAUGAAGGUGAGCAUUUGCCCACUGAAGUCUGUUACGACGCCGGACUACAGUCAGGUCAAGACCCUAGUGUGGACGACGAGCACGCAGAUGAGCUUCCCUGAAAUGGUUUCUGACAGUUUGUGCAGAAAUUACACAGUUUUAUCAGCUGUCCGGGUAGCUGGUCUCAGACGAUCCUGCAGGUGAAGAAGCCGGAUGUGGAGGUCCUGGGCUGGCGUGGUUACACUGCCAAAUUCUCUAAAAUUAGGUUGGAGGUGGCUUACGGUAGAAAAAUGUACAUUAGAUUAUCUGGAAACAGCUCUGGUCAACAUUCCUACAGUCAGCAUGCCAAUUGGAUGCUCCCUCAAAACUUGAGACAUCUGUGGCAUUGUGUUGUGUGACAAAAUUUUCUACAAAGUGUAAAGAGAAUCAUUUUUGUCAUGAAGUCAGUCUGGCCUAAAAGUGAGUUUGGAACAUCCGUGCGUCACAACGGGUAAAUGGAGAUUGGGUUUUGAUUUGAUGAUGUCCAUUUGCCACAGAGAGAGAGAGUGGUGUGUCCACUCUGUCCAAUAGCAUAGACCGUGUGUCACGUUCUGACCUUUAUUUACUUUGUUUUGUCAUUAUUUAGUAUGGUCAGGGCGUGAGUUGGGGUGGGGUGGUGGCAGUCUAUGUUUGUUUUUCUAUGAUUUGGGUAUUUCUAUGUUUCGGCCUAGUAUGGUUCUCAAUCAGAGGCAGGUGUCAUUAGUUGUCGCUGAUUGAGAAUCAUACUUAGGUAGCCUGGGUUGCACUGUUUGUUUGUGGGUGAUUGUCUAUGUUGAUGGCUUGUUUCAGCGCAGCUCGCAUUAGCUUCACGGUUGUUAUUUUGUUUACUGUUUUGUAUAGUGUUUCAGUGUUUAGUGUUUUCUUUAUUAAAAUUCAUGAUGAACACAUA